rnacentral:ribozyme from 1 species
GCCCCACGCAGGCGCCACCUUCUCGAGGUGUGGGGUGAGCAACUGUGCCUUUGGCACAGGCUAAGAGCGCCA